rnacentral:tRNA from 1 species
GGAAAUAUGCCUGAACUUAAGGAUUACUUUGAUAGAGUAAACAAUAGAGGUUAAACUCCUCUUAUUUCCU